AUACGGAGGGUGCAAGCGUUGUUCGGAAUUAUUGGGCGUAAAGCGCGUGUAGGCGGUUUCUUAAGUCUGAUGUGAAAGCCCCGGGCUCAACCUGGGAAGUGCAUUGGAAACUGGGAGACUUGAAUACGGGAGAGGGUAGUGGAAUUCCUAGUGUAGGAGUGAAAUCCGUAGAUAUUAGGAGGAACACCGGUGGCGAAGGCGGCUCUCUGGACCGAUACUGACGCUGAGACGCGAAAGCGUGGGUAGU
rnacentral:rRNA from 1 species